GUAGCUCUGAUCAGCUGUACCUGUGAUGGUGCUUGAGGUCUUUCUACAAGAAACCAAUAUAACACAGAUGGCAUGUUAGAAAUUGCCCUCCC
rnacentral:miRNA from 12 species